rnacentral:miRNA from 10 species
UAGGGUGACCAACCAUUCUGGUUUGCCUGGCACUGAGGCAGUCUUGAAUGUGAGACUUUCCGUGCCAAAACUGGCAAAGUCCUGGGUUACCUGA